rnacentral:rRNA from 1 species
AUUGAACGCUGGCGGCAGGCCUAACACAUGCAAGUCGAGCGGGGUUUUCGGACCUAGCGGCGGACGGGUGAGUAAUGCGUAGGAAGCUACCCGAUAGAGGGGGAUACCAGUUGGAAACGACUGUUAAUACCGCAUAAUGUCUACGGACCAAAGUGUGGGACCUUCGGGCCACAUGCUAUCGGAUGCGCCUACGUGGGAUUAGCUAGUUGGUGGGGUAAUGGCUCACCAAGGCGACGAUCCCUAGCUGGUUUGAGAGGAUGAUCAGCCACACUGGAACUGAGACACGGUCCAGACUCCUACGGGAGGCAGCAGUGGGGAAUAUUGGACAAAUGGGCGCAAGCCUGAUCCAGCCAUGCCGCGUGUGUGAAGAAGGCCUC